rnacentral:lncRNA from 1 species
CCGACUCAUUUCACAUACAUAGAGAUGCAGCUUUUCUUUUUACAAUAUUGUGUAGUUUUGUAAGUUAUUUUUUAUUUUCCUUUAUGAUUCCUUAAGUUAUUAAUCUGUUACAUUCAAAGACUUAUAAAACUGCAUGAUAUAAUGAAGGACUUAAUCUUGUGACCAUAGACCAGUUCCUUGUUGUAGCAAUCCCUAUGGGGUUAUAAAACCUCCAGUGUUUGGUAGUUGGGCCAUCUUAUGGAAAGGGAGCUGGCAAUCUGCAGCUGCCGUGGACAUUGGAUGAGAAAGCAUGAAAGGUAAGCUUCAAAUUUAAAUUAUAUUGUAUGUCUUUG